CUGUGAAUAUGUGAUGAUAAAAAUGUUGGUAGGGACAUCUGAUGUAAAGUGAAGAAUGCCAACAUUUCUGAUCAACACGG